rnacentral:rRNA from 1 species
UACGAAGGGGGCUAGCGUUGUUCGGAAUCACUGGGCGUAAAGCGCACGCAGGCGGAUCAUUAAGUCAGGGGUGAAAUGCCGAGGCUCAACCUCGGAACUGCCUUUGAUACUGGCGAUCUUAGAGUCCGGGAGAGGUGAGUGGAACUCCGAGUGUAGAGGUGAAAUUCGUAGAUAUUCGGAAGAACACCAGUGGCGAAGGCGGCUCACUGGCCCGGUACUGACGCUCAGGUGCGAAAGCGUGGGGAGCAAACAGG